UGUCUAUGAUGAUAAUUGUUAAGGCUUGUUUCUCAAACAUUCGCAGUGGCCGACUAAGAGCUUUCGCCUUCGCCAGGCUUGAGAGUUAAUGCUGCUUUUAUCCUUCCUUGGAUGUCUGAGACA
rfam:Solanum tuberosum cultivar DM 1-3 516 R44 scf00213_15, whole genome shotgun sequence.